UUGAUCCUUUCCUGACUACUGGAACUGUGGCUGUGGAGAUCUAGUUUCUUUUGAGGGCCUGUAUCAGAUUUGCAUAUCUGAGCUUCAUUCACCUUUGUCUGCAUUCUAGUGUUGAAGUAGGCCUUUUCAAGGACAAAUGUAGCAAGUAACACAGUGACUAAAUUAAGUCUGCAGGAUUUCCUUGUGAUAUGAUAAAUUUUCAACAGAACAAAGCAGAUAUUGAGUAGAAAUGCAUAAGGAAAUCCCAUGAAGGACUGACAGAAAUUAAUUCAGAACUUUUUUCAGCAUAAUUUGGACAAGACAUACUAAAGUCCAAAGUACACAAAUGAGAAGCGAUAAGUAAGAAGUAUAUAACUAGUAAACCAGCUCUCAAUUAAUUUAUAUUUUCUGCUACAUCUUUGUGGUGAAACUCGACUGUGUGUUAAUGGUCCUCAGAAGAUUCUAGACAACACUGAUGCUCUACUUCUUAUUAAGGGUAAAACUCACCCUAUUGAAGAGGACAAGCUUAAGAUCUAUGCACUCACUUAGUACCACUUAUCCCAAUUUUCACUUAACAAGGGCGCUUAUGCAAGACUCCUCCAGAAAGUGCCAAGUUUCUGCCAAGGGAGGCAGUGAGAGCUCCAGGAUCCCUCCACAGCCAAAGCCAAUGUGCGACAAGGGCAAUCCCCUCCAGGAGUUCCAUCUGGUGAGAUCAGGCCAAUUCUAUCUCUAUGCUAGCCUGAGGAUCGUGGAUGAAAGGAGCUGUGACUGAGUGCAAAGGCCUGGAAUGGAGCUGCAAGCCUGCACAGGAACCGAGCUAUUCCUCUGGAAAAGGCUGAACUUCCACGUGUGCAGGUGAGCUCUUGGAGGUCUCAGUGACCACCUGCACAAUUAACUGCUGCAACUACAAGAGUAUUUUUUGACAAGAUGUGUUUGGGUAAUUCUGUAAAAUCAAAGCAUCAGAAGGCAUGGCAAAAAGUCUGUUUUACAAUACCAUGGGAAUAUUUCAUGUGGUUGGGCCAACACAGAGGAAAUAGCAAUUGCAAUGUUAGCAAUGAAUGAUAGCACAGUGCAGCUAAGAAUACAUUCAGCAAACUGAGGUCCUAUUUUAACACUGACAAAAAAAGAGAAAAAAUAUAAAAUGUGUGUCUGUGUGUGUGUAUUUUUUUUCCAAAACAGCUG